UGAAACGACCCCAAAAAUGCCCAAAAUGUGCUUCGGAAACACCUAUAAUUGUAAUUUCCAUAUAUCUCAAAAUCCGUUUCAUUUUUCGAAAAUCCGACUUCAUAUUCUUGUUUAGGGGGUCAAAUUGAGUGGGAAAUGGGUCUAACCCAAAUUUUAGAGCAACCGUAUCAAAAAUCCGAAAUUUCCAAGUGAAGCCUUUUCGAGGGUCUACU
rnacentral:lncRNA from 1 species